UACGUAGGGUGCAAGCGUUAAUCGGAAUUACUGGGCGUAAAGGGUGCGCAGGCGGUUUUUUAAGUCAGCUGUGAAAUACCUGGGCUUAACCUGGGGACUGCAGUUGAGACUGGAAGGCUAGAGUGUGUCAGAGGGGGGUAGAAUUCCACGUGUAGCAGUGAAAUGCGUAGAGAUGUGGAGGAAUACCGAUGGCGAAGGCAGCCCCCUGGGAUAACACUGACGCUCAAGCACGAAAGCGUGGGGAGCAAACAGG
rnacentral:rRNA from 1 species